rnacentral:tRNA from 1 species
GGGCAGGUGCCCGAGUGGCUAAAGGGGCCAGACUGUAAAUCUGGUGGCCUAACGGCCUACGGGGGUUCGAAUCCCUCCCUGCCCA